UACGUAGGGUGCGAGCGUUGUCCGGAAUUAUUGGGCGUAAAGAGCUCGUAGGCGGUGUGUCACGUCGAUCGUGAAAACUUACAGCUUAACUGUGAGCGUGCGGUCGAUACGGGCAUCACUGGAGUUCGGCAGGGGAGACUGGAAUUCCUGGUGUAGCGGUGAAAUGCGCAGAUACCAGGAGGAACACCGGUGGCGAAGGCGGGUCUCUGGGCCGAUACUGACGCUGAGGAGCGAAAGCGUGGGGAGCAAACAGG
rnacentral:rRNA from 1 species